AACACUUUGGUUUCCCGUAAGGCGCCGAAUGAGUCAUUAAAAAAUUAACAUCAUCCGAUCCCUAGUCGGCAUAGUUUAUGGUUAAGACUACGACGGUAUCUGAUCGUCUUCGAUCCCCUAACUUUCGUUCUUGAUUAAUGAAAACAUCCUUGGCAAAUGCUUUCGCAGUAGUUAGUCUUCAAUAAAUCCAAGAAUUUCACCUCUGACAAUUGAAUACUAAUGCCCCCAACUAUCCCUAUUAAUCAUUACGUCAAUCCUAGAAACCAACAAAAUAAGAUCGAACGUCCUAUUUCAUUAUUCCAUGCUAAUGUAUUCAAGCGUUAGCCUGCUUUAAACACUCUAAUUUUUUCAAAGUAACAGUCCAAAUUCCCCGCAACACCAAAUUAAUGGCAUUACGGUUCAUAAGGAAGGAGGAAUCAGUGAGAUCAGUACAUACCGGAGGCAUGACCAACCUACUAACCCCGAAAUUCAACUACGAGCUUUUUAACUGCAACAACUUUAAUAUACGCUAUUGGAGCUGGAAUUACCGCGGCUGCUGGCACCAGACUUGCCCUCCAAUUGUUCCUCGUUAAGAGAUUUAAAUUGUACUCAUUCCAAUUACGAGAUCCUAAAGAACCCCGUAUUGUUAUUUAUUGUCACUACCUCCCCGUGUCGGGAUUGGGUAAUUUGCGCGCCUGCUGCCAUCCUUGGAUGUGGUAGCCGUUUCUCAGGCUCCCUCUCCGGUGUCGUGCCCUAACACCCCGUUACCCGUUACCACCAUGGUAGGCCUCUAUCCUACCAUCGAAAGUUG
rnacentral:rRNA from 1 species